AAAAAUGCACAAAAUACAUGCAGAAGAUGGUGGCAGAUCUGGUGGAAAAUAGCUAUUCAAUUUCUGUUCCGAUCUUCAAACAGUUUCACAAGAAUAUCAUUGGGAAAGGAGGCGCAAACAUUAAAAAGAUUCGUGAAGAAAGCAACACCAAAAUCGACCUUCCAGCAGAGAAUAGCAAUUCAGAGACCAUUAUCAUCACAGGCAAGCGAGCCAACUGCGAAGCUGCCCGGAGCAGGAUUCUGUCUAUUCAGAAAGACCUGGUAAUGGGAGAUGUUUUCUAAUGGAGAUCCUCCAGUAAAAUCUCUAACAGCCUCUAAGAUUGAGCCUGGGGUUGAGUCACGCAGGGUCAUUGGGCCAGCGCAGGCUGAUGUGGAAGAUUGCACCUUUCAAUCCAGGCUACUGAUGAGUUGGUCAGCAGUUUUCUGCCUUUGUCUCUCACGAU
rnacentral:sRNA from 1 species